rnacentral:rRNA from 1 species
AGCAGCCGCGGUAAUUCCAGCUCCAAUAGCGUAUAUUAAAGUUGUUGCAGUUAAAAAGCUCGUAGUUGAAUUUCGGGAUCAAAGAAUCGGUCAUGCCUUGGUAUGUACUGGUUUUAUUGGUUCUCACCUUCUAAAGAACCAUGAUGUCAUUCAUUUGAUGUCAUGGGGAAUUAGGACUGUUACCUUGAAAAAAUUAGAGUGUUUAAAGCAAGCUUACGCUUGAAUACAUUAGCGAUGGAAUAAUGAAAUAGGACAUCAGAUUCUAUUUUGUUGGUUUCUAGGAUCGAUGUAAUGAUUAAUAGGGAUAGUUGGGGGCAUUAGUAUUCAAUUGUCAGAGGUGAAAUUCUUGGAUUUAUUGAAGACUAACUACUGCGAAAGCAUUUGCCAAGGAUGUUUUCAUUAAUCAAGAACGAAAGUUAGGGGAUCGAAGACGAUCAGAUACCGUCGUAGUCUUAACCAUAAACUAUGCCGACUAGGGAUCGGAUGAUGUUAAUUUUUUCAAUGACUCAUUCGGCACCUU